GAUGCCCUCAAGACUCCUACCCUGCAAAGGAAAUAUGAUCUCUUCCUCCCUGCCUCCUCUUGACACCCGAGUCAUUGUUCAUCUUCCACAUUGUGUCACAAUCAUAUGAAUAGCUUCUCUCCUGUCCUGCUAGUCUUCAGGUUCCUUAGGGUGGUGACUGUGUAUUACUCACUUCUGUAUCCUACUUAGAACAUGUUGUUCCUUGCUUGGGGUCAAUGCUGUCAAAAUGUCUGAAAUGAAUUCUUUCCUGGGGACAGCUAGCUGAGAGCAGACACAGCUGGAAUUCUCCUUGUGACGAGUCUAUUUUGGAAGAGAGCUGGUUGAGUCUGCACUCUUACACUGGGGAAGGUGCUGCUUCAGAGCAGGUGUCAGGGCUCACGGGGGCACAGGGCAACUUGCUGGCUUGGGAGUCAGGGUGGUAGAUUGCCAAAUAAAAUAGAAACGCUCAAUUCAGUUGAACAUAAGUAUUUUAGGGGACAAUACUUAGACUAAAAAAUGACUCAUUAUUUAUCUGAAAUUCAGAUUUAACUCAGUGUCCUGUAUUUUUAUUUGCUCAACUUGGCAACCCUAGAUGGGGAUGCCAGGGAGAAGGUUCUGCAGGUCAACUCCACAGGCUUUCUAGGAUCAAUGCUGUUCAGAUGUAAGCUUCAUUAGGGACCAAGUGUCUCUCAUUUACCAUUGGAUGCCCAGUGCCUUACACAGUCCUUUACAUAAAGAAGAUGCUCAAUAUAUAUUUACUGAAUAAAUAAAGAGCUUGGUGCUUCUGGGCCUUCUCCACCCAUAAUAAGGCUUACCUCAUCCACAGUGAUAAAAAUGUGCCAAAAUAAAGGAGUUGACAUUACACAUUUCCUUUACGGAAGUCAUUGCUAAUUUCCAUUACCCAACAAACUGUCCAAGUGCAUUGGGCUGAUUUGGAUUUAAAAUCAAUUAAUGCAUCCUCAAGGAACUUGGCUACUAGAAAAGCAAGAUAAAACUGCAUCUUAAGUUAUGUCCAUUUAAAAUGUAAUUAAUACUUUACAUCGAUGUGCAUUUAGAAAACAGGGUAAAGUACCAAUGAGGGGGAAAAUUUGGUCUCAUCUCAGGAUCCCUGGCAGGUUGUGCUAUUACAAGGACAACCAAGUUACACCUGUUUCGUGGCACCUGCUUUCUCUCCUCCCUCUCCACUCAGUGUUGCUGAACACCUUUCUUUUCUCUAACUGUCUCUUUUUCCUCCUGUGCCAAAAGCCCUGGUGGAAGAUGCAGCCUGAACCUGGAUUCUGAGGUUUAAUCGAAAGUGGGUGCUUACGCUUAAGAAGAGCCCGGAGGCCAGAGAAGCCAUCAACCCAGGGGCAGCAGGUAGGCGAAUGUAAUGAAGGCCUGGUUAAGGAUGACUGUGGGGUCAUAUAAGGGCAGGAAAAGUGGAUCUGUGACCAGUGGUGUGUGAACCAUAAAGGGACAGUCAAAAAAGGAUUUCCAGCUUCCUGAUUUGGAGAACUGGGAAACAGAGAGGGUACCAGCCAGGACUUAGUUGCCAACAAUAGAAACUGAUUCCAGAUCUCUAAGAAGAAACAAAAUAUUAAAUUAUGUUUAUUAGAGCUCUCCAAAUCAAUGGGAAGUCUGGAGAACUGGUUUCAGAAAACAGGCAGGACCAAGAGGGGCUGGAACCUGGGUCAAACCAUAAGAUCAGCCUGGUCAGGUCCAAGCCAAAGCAUUCCUAUGAUUAGACACUUGUGACACUACCCUCCUCCACUCCUGCUGUGAGUAAUCACUAGACCAUUGUCAUUCUCAGGAACUAAAAUCCCUUUUGCAUGGUGUGAAUGACCAUGUCUAAGUCAUGUGAGCAUGACCCAGUCACUAGUCACAUGAGCAUGCCCCCAUCACUAUAGGGCAAAGGUGAGAAUGUCUAGUCCCCUUCAGACUCACACUUAUUGAAAUUUAUUCCAAAUAGAAUUAAAAAUCAGAUGGUAGGAAAGCCAGAGAGAUGAGGGGGACGGGGAGGAAUGCAAAUGAUCCCUCUGGUGGUGUUAAAGUGUAAGGUGCAGAAGGAGGGCAAGUUUUUAGGGUAGGACUUUGAGUUCAGUGAGCAUACUGAAUAUGAGAUACCCACAGGUACCCAGUAGCUGUGGAGAGAGGUUGACAUUGGAGAUGCUGGUCUGAGAACUGUCUUCAAAGCGGUAACAAGUCAUCAGUAUGGCAUCUUGCCCUGGAUCACUGUGGCUUCUCCAGCCAUCAUUGCAUUCCAUAUCUUUAAUAGCUGAUGUCUUCUGAGGAGCCCAGGAUAUGAAAGCAAGGGCCCUGCAGAAGGUAAAUAUCUGACUGGGUUCUCUUUUCCCAGAAGUCCCAGUUCCUGGAUUGAACAUCUGAUCAUGAAAAAUGACUAGCAAAUAAAAAAAGUUAAGCUGACAAGGAUCAGGACACAAGGGUGGCUUUGACAACAGCUGAUGAGAAAUAAACUGGAAGAAUUUCUUCUCCUUUUAGGGCUCCAUAACCUUAAUUUCCAGGUUCACACUCAUGCUUCAAAAGCAUAAAACCUCAAGGGUAGCACAGGUGCUCUGGAAUGUUUAGAACCCUGGAGCCUGUGCACUGCAAGGAGACUUGGGAAUCAUGUACUUCAAUCCUCUAUUUUACACACUAGGGUCCAUGGCUUAGAGGAUCCUCAAACUGCAGCAUCCUUUCAAGUUCUCUGAUUGUGAACAAGUGACACUACCUUUCACCCACCCCUCCGCCCCAUCCUGCCAACACUGUCCCCCACCUGAGAGGAAGGGAGGCCUUGUGUAGGAUGCAGCUGGGUGGAACACCUCCUCUUCCCCUGGAGGCAGUGACAUCCGUCACUCCUAGGAGAUGAUUAAAAUGCUGCUAUUGUUGAAUUUUGGCAAGUCAAUUCUGGAUUAUUCUCCCAUGGGGCUGGUCAUGAGUCACUAUAGCACAUCCUCAGGAAGAUGAUGGCUGGACUCCCAAAUUGGCCAGAUUCUGCAGCAAACUUGGGACUCAGUGAACCAGGGCUAUGAACUAUAGGUUCUUGUGGCUGCUCCCAUCAUGAGUGAAGGGAUGGACACCAAGGAGAAACCGACUUUGGGGUUGGCAUCACAGAGUGAUCCAUUAAUAGAGCCUGAGUGAAUAGCCUGGAUGAAGCCCCCACCAUGACAAUGGUGAGGAUUAAAUAAGGGGGUGUUGGGGGGAAGGCCUAGAAGGUGCCUGCACAGAGAAGCUAUUCAGUGAAAGCCAUUUCCUUUUUUCCUUCUCAUGGGAGGUAGUCUUUGAGCUAGACCUUAAAGAAGACCAAGUCCUCUCCUUACUCUAAAUAGGCAGUAAAGGAGUUCCCGUCAUGGCUCAGUGGUUAACGAAUCCAACUAGGAAACAUGAGGUUGCGGGUUUGAUCCCUGGCCUCACUCAGUGGGUUGAGGAUCUGGCGUUGCCGUGAGCUGGGCUGUAGGUUGCAGACGCGGCUCAGAUCCUACGUUGCUGUGGCUGUGGUGUAGGCUGGCAGCUGUAGCUCUGAUUCAACCCCUAGCCUGGGAACCUCCAUAUGCCAAGGGUGCGGCCCUAGAAAAGACAAUAAAAGAAAUAAAUAAAAUAAAAUAGGCAGUAAAGAGACAGGGAACAGCCCAGGGGGAAGGGAUAGUCACAGAGUCCAGACUUUCAGAGUCAAAAAGUCUUACGUUUUUGAUGAUUAACCUAUGGACUCUGGGAAGCUAUGCAGGAGGGACAUUCACCCAAAGGGAAGAGAAGAGACACGAAGGACAGUAAUCCAAGUUAAAUUAAGGAUGGAAAUGUCUCUAUGCCAUGUAACGAGCAUCCAGAAGUGAAUAAACAAAUGAAUGAGAUAAUGAAUGACAUAACAUGGUCUGCUCACAGUAUUCCCCAACCAUGCCAUCUUCUGGAAAGAAAAGGACAUUGUGGCAUUGCCCAUGCUCUCUCCUCCCCUUCUGAAACCUUGGUACUGCGGCAUGUCUAAGCCCUUCAUCCUUGGAUGCCGCUCAAUUAUCAUGUCCUCUAGUAGGAAGCCUUUCUUGAUUCACCAACUCAGAAAUUCUUUUUCCUCUGUUCUCCCAAAGACCUCACCUCCACUCUCACAGGGCCUUUAUUUCCAGGCCAACUGAUGGUCAUUGGCGUGUGUGUUACCUCUGCAUGCCCUCCAGUGCCCAGGACCUAAAGCAGCCCCUUGCAGAAAGUGUUAAGGAUUUCUUGGCCCUCCAAGGACUCCCAAGUCUCCCACCCCUUUGUCCAGGAUUGUUUGAGUGACUUGGUAACAAAAGAGCCUUGAAUAAAAUGGAGUAGAGUCAUAUUUCGAGGAAUGAGCUGGGAGAGGUCUCAGAAGUGGGAAGUAGUUGGGUUGGGAGCCGUGUCUUCACGCAGAAGAAGGAUGAAACAGAUCCCAACUGAGUGGAACACUUGUCUCAGGGCCCAGGGCAAGGCCGGGGGGCCAGGAUAAAGUGACCAUGGACAUGUUGGGGGAGAAUGAGAAAAGGAGGGAUGGGAAGCCUUGAGGUGCAGGGGAGUGUGAAGCAGUCAGCAUAAGCCAGGGCUUUGAAAGCAUCUCUUUGUACCUCUCUCCUUGACCUAACCAGCUGGGUACCUGUGACUCUAACACUGAGGGGAGAGCUCUUAUGGGUCCUCAAUAAAUAUUGGAUAGAAUAAUCCUGACUAAUGAUGAUAAUGAUAAUAAUAAUAGCAGCCAAUUUUUAUUGAGUACUUUCUGUGUAUCAGGCACUGUUCUAAGUAUUUUUAAAAACAUGUGUUUCUUCAUUAAAUCUUCCUAUCAACCCUGUGAGGUAAGUAUUAUUAUUACUCUCAUUUUAUAGAUGAUGAAUUGGAAGCUCAGAGAAGCUAAGUCACUUAUCCGCAGCCACACAGCUAGAAAAUGGUAAAGCCAGGAUUUGAACCCACUCUCUUGACCCUCAAAGCCUGUAUUCUUAGCCAUUACACAAUAGGGCCUGGUGUUAAUAGUAAAACAUUUACUCACCUAAUCUUGGCCCCAGCCCCCUCUCAAGAUAUUCUCUGCUAAAUCUGCUUAUUAUAAAAAAUAAUAACUUUGCUCUUUUAAUGGAUAAUCCGCAGCAUUGAAACUCAAAUAACUUUCAGAGCAGUCUACUGUAAAAGUCCCCUUCAAAGGAGAACCUCAAAGGAUGGAUAAAAGCAAUUGAAAUAAUGGAAUUAUAUACUCCACUUAAUUCUGAAGAUUCAUUUCACUGCAAUUUUAUUUUCUGCUCUAUUUUAUAUUUAAUGGGACCCAAGAAAAUGGAGAAAAAAGUCCAAAUUUUUGUUUGAUAGAAAGUGAGACUCAGGAGUUCCCAUUGCAGCCCAGUGGGUUACAAACACUAGUAUCCCUGAGGAUGGAUGUUUGAUCCCUGGUUUUGCUCAGUGGAUUAAGGAUCUAGCAUUGCUGUGAGCUGUGGUGUGGCUUGGAUCCCACAUUACUGUGGCUGUGGCAGGCAGCUGGUAGCUCUGACGUGACCCCUAGCCUAGAAACUUCCAUAUGCCUCAGGUGCAGUCCUAAAAAGAAAAAAAAAAAAAAAAAAAAA
ensembl:lncRNA